GGGAACGUACCCUUCGGUUCGGAAUAACUCAGGGAAACUUGAGCUAAUACCGGAUACGCCCUUUUGGGGAAAGGUUUACUGCCGAAGGAUCGGCCCGCGUCUGAUUAGCUUGUUGGUGGGGUAACGGCCUACCAAGGCGACGAUCAGUAGCUGGUCUGAGAGGAUGAUCAGCCACACUGGGACUGAGAUACGGCCCAGACUCCUACGGGAGGCAGCAGUGGGGAAUAUUGGACAAUGGGCGCAAGCCUGAUCCAGCCAUGCCGCGUGAGUGAUGAAGGCCUUAGGGUUGUAAAGCUCUUUUGUCCGGGACGAUAAUGACGGUACCGGAAGAAUAAGCCCCGGCUAACUUCGUGCCAGCAGCCGCGGUAAUACGAAGGGGGCUAGCGUUGCUCGGAAUCACUGGGCGUAAAGGGCGCGUAGGCGGCCGAUUAAGUCGGGGGUGAAAGCCUGUGGCUCAACCACAGAAUUGCCUUCGAUACUGGUUGGCUUGAGACCGGAAGAGGACAGCGGAACUGCGAGU
rnacentral:rRNA from 1 species